rnacentral:rRNA from 1 species
CUACGGGCCGCUCCAGUGGGGAAUAUUGGGCAAUGGGCGCAAGCCUGACCCAGCAACGCCGCGUGAGGGAAGAAGGUUUUCGGAUUGUAAACCUCUGUCCUUGGGGACGAAGAAGUGACGGUACCCAAGGAGGAAGCUCCGGCUAACUACGUGCCAGCAGCCGCGGUAAUACGUAGGGAGCAAGCGUUGUCCGGAAUUACUGGGCGUAAAGGGUGCGUAGGCGGCAUAUUAAGUCAGGUGUGAAAUACUCGGGCUCAACCCGGGGGCUGCAUUUGAAACUGAUAUGCUUGAGUGUGAGAGAGGAAAGUGGAAUUCCUAGUGUAGCGGUGGAAUGCGUAGAUAUUAGGAGGAACACCAGUGGCGAAGACGACUUUCUGGCUCAUAACUGACGCUGAGGCACGAAAGCGUGGGGAGCAAACAGGAUUAGAUACCCGGGUAGUC